rnacentral:rRNA from 1 species
UACGUAGGGUCCGAGCGUUGUCCGGAAUUAUUGGGCGUAAAGGGCUCGUAGGCGGUCUGUCGCGUCGGGAGUGAAAACUCAGGGCUCAACCCUGAGCGUGCUUCCGAUACGGGCAGACUAGAGGUAUGCAGGGGAGAGCGGAAUUCCUGGUGUAGCGGUGGAAUGCGCAGAUAUCAGGAGGAACACCGGUGGCGAAGGCGGUUCUCUGGGCAUGACCUGACGCUGAGGAGCGAAAGCAUGGGGAGCGAACAGG